GGAGAGAUGUCCGAGUGGCCGAAGGAGCACGAUUGGAAAUCGUGUGUACUGCAAGGUACCGAGGGUUCGAAUCCCUCUCUCUCCGCCA
rnacentral:tRNA from 5 species